UGGGGAAUUUUGGACAAUGGGGGAAACCCUGAUCCAGCCAUCCCGCGUGUGCGAUGAAGGCCUUCGGGUUGUAAAGCACUUUUGGCAGGAAAGAAACGUCAUGGGUUAAUACCCCGUGAAACUGACGGUACCUGCAGAAUAAGCACCGGCUAACUACGUGCCAGCAGCCGCGGUAAUACGUAGGGUGCAAGCGUUAAUCGGAAUUACUGGGCGUAAAGCGUGCGCAGGCGGUUCGGAAAGAAAGAUGUGAAAUCCCAGAGCUCAACUUUGGAACUGCAUUUUUAACUACCGGGAUAGAGUGUGUCAGAGGGAGGUGGAAUUCCGCGUGUAGCAGUGAGAUGCGUAGAUAAGCGGAGGAACACCGAUGGCGAAGGCAGCCUCCUGGGAUAACACUGACGCUCAUGCACGAAAGCGUGGGGAGCAAACAGG
rnacentral:rRNA from 1 species